rnacentral:lncRNA from 1 species
GGAACUCAUCACAUCUCCUCGCUGCUAUCCUAAAAACGCAGCCAGAAAUCAGAAGCUGUAUGUCACCUCUGCCCAGAAAUUGUCACACCACUUCAUAUUUACUUUUUAAGAGAGGAACCUCAGGCAUCUCAGAUGUGGUACCCUCCAAACUGACAAUAAAUCAGUCAUUCUCUGUUAUAGGCACUGCUUUAUAUCAAAGAAAUUGCUAAUAAUAUCAACUCCUUAGCUUUUAUUCCUUUGCUUUUCUCUCUUUUUUAGUUCUAAUCGCCAGUCUAAAGUCUCUGCCUGGAUUCCCUGAUCCAACCUGGCUGGAAAUUUCAGGUGCUGCUGAAACCACCCAGUUUGUCCCAGUGAAUACAGGGCAUGUUCCUGGGACUACUGCAAAGAGCAAAACAGGGCAACGCUGUGGGCACAUGGAGGAAGAAAAAUCCUGGAAAAAAUUAUGGCAACGAUCAAAUCCUCUGGUACUCAUUAAAAGACUUGUUUUGCAGCUGCACCGUGAAAAGUUGGCCAGAGGCAACUGAGCUGAAGCUUGAGCGAAUGCAAAGCUGGAGAACUGCUGCACCCCUGAAUCGUUCCCUGAUAGGAAACUCUCACAGACACCACAUGAAGAACACAUGCCCUGAACUAAGUUGAAGGGUUAACUGCACCAUCAGGUAUGAACCACCCAUCACUGCCACAUGGGCAUGGAGGUGGCGAUGGGGCUGGCAGCCCAAAGAGUGUUUUCCUUUCUUCCUCCCCUUCCAGGGAGGGAUGUCACAGAAUACAAUGGAAAUUUAAUAUAUUUCUAAGAGGACACUGUAACAAUGAGAUUUGCUGCCAAGUAGGGGCUCAUCCCUUCCUGGGUCCUAGCUGAUGGAGGUGACUGGAUGGGGCUUCAAGAUUAGGUUGAGCAACCUGGUCUAGUGGGAGGUGUCCCUGCCAUGGUAGGAGGGUUGGAGCUGGAUGAUCUUUAAGGUCCCUUCCAACUCAUUCUAUGAUUCCAUGACUGCUGUGUUCAGGGACUGUUCUGAGGGUCCAGGCAAUUCUUUCCAGUCCUGCCCCUGUGUUACUGGUACCUUUUUUUCUCUACCUGCUCAGAAACGGCUGCAGGUGCUGAGAAUUUAAAGCCUAGUCCUUAAGAUCUAUCGUGGCUGAAAUGUCUAUAAACACCUUGAGUCUCUUUAGAGACCUCUGUGCUUGCCAAACUCUGCAGCUUACUAGUACGUCUCAUUACAUGUGGUGCUUUCCCCCCUCCUGCAGCCCAUGAUUAUGUGAGAACUGCAGGAAAAGUAAGUUUAAAGACUUCGGUACAUCCUCAGUGCCUGAACUGAAAAAGUAGAUGAAGAAACUCUAAUUUAAUUUAAAAGUUGAAAUAUUAUUUAAGAUGACCUCAAGACUUGGAGCCUGUCUGCAGCUUUUUUCCAGCAUUGGCAGUUAUCAAUAUUGAAAUAUUAUCAGAAAAGGUUUUUUCCUUGGUUUGUUUUUUUUUUAAUAAUAUAUUAGUAACCCAAGAUCACAUAUUGCUCGGCUGAAAUCUGCUGAACAUUAAUCACCAGAUUCUAUGUUUUAUGGCUGAAAUAAAUCUGAUUGGAAAACAGAAAAAAAAAAUCA